rnacentral:rRNA from 1 species
GGGUGAUUUGUUGGGCGUCGAGCGGCGGACGGGUGAGUAAUGCCUAGGAAAUUGCCCUGAUGUGGGGGAUAACCAUUGGAAACGAUGGCUAAUACCGCAUAAUGCCUACGGGCCAAAGAGGGGGACCUUCGGGCCUCUCGCGUCGGGAUAUGCCUAGGUGGGAUUAGCUAGUUGGUGAGGUAAGAGCUCACCAAGGCGACGAUCCCUAGCUGGUCUGAGAGGAUGAUCAGCCACACUGGAACUGAGACACGGUCCAGACUCCUACGGGAGGCAGCAGUGGGGAAUAUUGCACAAUGGGCGCAAGCCUGAUGCAGCCAUGCCGCGUGUAUGAAGAAGGCCUUCGGGUUGUAAAGUACUUUCAGUCGUGAGGAAGGGGAUAUCGUUAAUAGCGGUAUUCUUUGACGUUAGCGACAGAAGAAGCACCGGCUAACUCCGUGCCAGCAGCCGCGGUAAUACGGAGGGUGCGAGCGUUAAUCGGAAUUACUGGGCGUAAAGCGCAUGCAGGUGGUUUGUUAAGUCAGAUGUGAAAGCCCGGGGCUCAACCUCGGAAUAGCAUUUGAAACUGGCAGACUAGAGUACUGUAGAGGGGGGUAGAAUUUCAGGUGUAGCGGUGAAAUGCGUAGAGAUCUGAAAGAAUACCAGUGGCGAAAGCGGCCCCUGGACAGAUACUGACACUCAGAUGCGAAACGUGGGGAGCAACAAGAUUAGAUACCCUGGUAGUCCACGCCGUAACGAUGUCUACUUGGAGGUGUGGCCUUGAGCCUGGCUUUUGAGCUAAGCGUUAGUAGACCGCCUGGGGAGUACGUCCCAGAUUAAACUCAAUGAUUGACGGGGGCCGCACAAACGGUGGAGCUGUGGUUUAUUCGAUGCACGCGAAAAACUUACUACUCUUGAC